GUGAAUCAUCGAAUUUUUGAACGCAAAUUGCACUCUCUGGCAUUCCGGAGAGUAUGCCUGUUUGAGGGUCAGUAUAAUCAAAAUCGGAGUGAUGCUAUUUGGGUGACGCACCGGAGUUUGGGUCAUCUUAACUCUUUUUUUUAAGAGACCUAAAAUUAACAUUCUUUUUUGUUUACUUUUGAGACGUACAUAAUUUUUUUUUUUUCGUCUAUCCUGGUGGCAAAACUUUUAUUAGAUAGUGAUUCACGUUAAUUGGU
rnacentral:misc_RNA from 1 species